CUCUCUGCCACUGCGCCUGUCUUCCAAAAUCUGGCGGCGCACACAACCAAUUCGCCGCCGGCCUAUGACUCCACGCACCACUGCCAGGCCCCCACCUCUCCACCCGCCCUCCUUCCAUCUCCUCUCCGCAUGGCCGAUCUGUGAACAGAGCAAGCAUCAAUGGAGUAGGUUCCUCCUAAUCUCUCCACUCACCUCUCUCCUUUGGAUCAAGCUCCCUCCACCUGGAGGAAGGGCUGAAGCCGGGUCGAUUCCGUCAUGCGUUAGAGCUUAGAGUCGUCACCGCCGUGGCGCGUCACCGGGCCACGCGCCGAGAGAGCAGCGCGGUUACUGGCUGCAUGUUGGAGCCUUGGAGGUUGCUGGCUCGCAGCAGGCUGGGGCUGCUGGACAUGGAGAUCAGAUGGAGCAUAAGUCAGCGAGUACUUCAAUCUCAAGUUCGAGCUCCCCAUCCAGCCCCAUGUCUUCGUCUUCACAUGAAUCAGUCUUCUACUAUAUUUAGAGGUGGAUGCAAAUUUCUGCACAAUCUUCGGCUUUCUUGAUGUUGCACUGAUUAUGUAAUCUGCGUAUGGGUUGAUAAUGAGUUAUAAAGCUCGGGUUGUCUAAACCUGAAAAUUUAGUGAGGUGUGAAUGUACAGUUCACUAUUAUACUUCAACAUGAUCAGGAUGCUUUAAUCAAAAGGAUUGGUUUAGUCAACCCAUAAGAUUGAUUCAUUACCUUGGAGUUCCAGAGCGAUUUUGUGUAGCAUGUUCUUCAGCUGAGCGACUACUUCGUCGGCUAAACACCCGGCUCCUGCUGCAAAGAUGUCCACUGUCCAAGACCCGUGCGUAUCAUUAUUCUCCCUGUCUGUGCCGCGCAACAGCAGUUUCCUGUAGCCCUGCCUCCAUCAGCUUCUCCCUCUUCCUUGCAAUCGUGGGUACAGGACAUCGGCAACAGCAAUAUCUGCACUCACUAUACAGUUGGCAAAACCGAAUUUCAGCUCGGAUCAAAGCUUCUACUUUAUGGUUGCGCAUUCUAAAAAUUUAGUGAUUUUGCCCACUAAAGAUAUAACAUAUCUGCUACUAUUAAUAGCACGUGAUCCGUUUUUCUUCAUUUAUGCUAACCAUCAGAACUAAUAAAAUGCUUGAUGAUAUUAGCGGAUCUCUUUAUAACCGUAUAUGUCUGGUUGUUCCAAGAUAAUUGUUAGCUGUCAUAUUAUAUCAACUGAUUAUCUUGCUGAUGCUGAUCCGCUCUAUCCAUCGGAAUUCUUACAUUCUGUAGUCGUUAAAAAUUUUGCACAUCAUGAAAUUGGUUUGGAAGUUAAAAAAUUAUUGACGUAUAUAAUAAAGGACAGUGUGUUUGUAUU